rnacentral:rRNA from 1 species
GAUGAACGCUAGCGGCAGGCCUAACACAUGCAAGUCGAGGGGUAGCAGGAUUAAGCUUGCUUAAUUGCUGACGACCGGCGCACGGGUGCGCAACGCGUAUGCAACCUACCUUAUACUGGGGUAUAGCCCGGAGAAAUUCGGAUUAAUCCCCCAUAGUACUAAUGAAUCGCAUGGUUUAUUAGUUAAAGCAUUGCGGUAUAAGAUGGGCAUGCGUCCUAUUAGCUAGAUGGUGAGGUAACGGCUCACCAUGGCUACGAUAGGUAGGGGGCCUGAGAGGGUGGUCCCCCACACUGGUACUGAGACACGGACCAGACUCCUACGGGAGGCAGCAGCGAGGAAUAUUGGUCAAUGGGCGCAAGCCUGAACCAGCCAUGCCGCGUGCAGGAGGAAUGCCCUAUGGGUUGUAAACUGCUUUUAUUUGGGAAUAAACCUCUUUACGUGUAGAGAGCUGAAGGUACCAAAUGAAUAAGCACCGGCUAACUCCGUGCCAGCAGCCGCAGUAA